UCCUCUCUUGCCAAACUUACUGAUCCCUUUGAAAUGAGUGACCUUAAGAAAUAAUCAAUCACUUUUCUCAAAUUCUAAAUCCCUCCUUCGGGAGUCCGUAUAACUUUUCUAUUUGCUCUUAGUUGUCUUUAUGUUCUUUAUGACCUUAACUAUUUUGAUUGUAGUCUCCUCCACAACAUUUGGGCCGAAUAAUUUUCUAUCACCCAGCUCUUUCUAACAAAUCGGUGAUCUGCGUGGGUGGCUAUACAAUGCCUCGUAUGGUGUCAUGCUGAUACUUGUCUGGUAGCUGUUAUUGCAGGCGAACUCUAUC
rnacentral:lncRNA from 1 species